GUGUUAUCCUAUUUGUGGCGCGUUUCUGUUUUGCAGUGCAUUUCUGUUGUGAAGUGGGUUUCAUUUUGGGCGUUCCGUUUUUGUGCUGCGUUUGCACCCCUCGGCCACCGUACAGAAUCCUGCUGCUGGAACAGAACAUCCAUGUGAAAGUAGAAAACAUCUCGUGUGCCGUCUGGAAACCAUGGAGAGGGGCCCCCCUGACUUGGUUAAGUUUGCCACUGAAACACCGUCGCCAGGCACAGGGCUGAGGGCUUACCAGGCAGAGAUGACUAACUGAAGGGGAGAAGGGUCCUGAUGCACCACACCACACGUGAACAAAACAAAACCACUGACGGACACCCAAGUGCACUACUGUACAGGGAGUAAAGGGACCACCACCGCCGGGGGAAUCAGUCAGCCACCAGCCACCUGGCCCAACAGCUCCUGUCCAAGAAAAAGAGGCAAACUGUUAGUCACGGGAAAAUGAGGCACACCUACAUAGAUCUCAAAUAAACUGCCCCAACACCACACUAGGCUGGGCCCAGGAGGUCACCCCCAAGGCCAAUUAUGCCAACAUGCACCCCUUACUCCCUUGCCCAGUCAACCCAAUAAACCAAAAACAGGAAAAAAAAAAAUUUAUAAACCCAAAAAAAGGAUAACUGGAUAACUUAAAUACGCAAACCCAACAAAUAAGUGAAUAAACAAUAAAUAAAUAACAAAACUAACUAAUAAAGAAUCCCAAGAUCUAUGCUAAUAAUUCCAACACUAAUAAUUCUAACACUAAUAAUUCUAACACUAAUAAUAAUAAUAAUAAUACUCUCAAUAACAGGCGUGCUGGGCAAUAGGCACGCGCACACCAAGAUCGUCGUUGUUUUGUUUUUAAAACAUCACACAACACCAAAAAAAAAACAAUAAAACAACUGCCGAUGAGCAGAGAGCUUGCCGCGAUGAACCACAGACAGAACAGCAGUAGCCCGCUUCUGCGAUAGAACCGGCCGUCCGUGAAGACGCAGCUCCUCAGGCAACAGGGGAGACAGCCGUGGAAGAAAGCAGCAUGAUCACUGCCAACAGCAACCAGAAACCAAAGUCAUCUCAUGUGCAGCCCAGCAAAAACACACACAAAAAAACGAGAGACAGAAACGAGCCAGCCUACCUCAGGAAUUCAAUACAGCGUGUGAAUUAUUACUCCCGGCUCCCAGCCUUCAGCCCGAAUACGGCCCGACUCUGCUAGAAAGCAGAAAGCACAUCAAACACCACUAAUAUAACCCAGCGAUGUAGCGACCGCGUCGGCACAUACCUGACAAGAGAAAGCUCGACAGCCAGCGUCUCGAGACCGCCACGUGGAUCCACACAUCCACGCCACGUUGCUGAUGUGGCACGUAGGCUCCAGAAAGAGGUAAGAGGAUGCACGUACAAAACGCGCAGCCCUCUCCCAGAUAUAACCUGGCGUGGCACCGCCCAGCAAGCAAGGUGCAUUAGGAUGAUUACUCCCAGCUGCACGAACCUGACUCAAUGCACACAACCUGAGUGGCCGUCCUACCACACCAGCUAACUUCCUGGUUUGUGUUUCUUGUUGAGUCUUUGCUUCUUUAGAGACGUUUCUGAGACCACAGAGUAACGGCAGACAGGCAUUUAAUCAAUCAAUAGUCGAUCAAUAGAAAUACAGAUACCGAUAACUGGGAAAAUGCCAAACAUUGGACAUGAUAAUCCCAAUCAGAAACCAUGGAAUCUUUCAUCAGCUGAGUGCAGAAAUGUGGUCUGGUGCAGAAUGAACAGACAAAAUGCGCAUUAAAGACCCACAAAUCUGAACAUAAGACAUCAAUAUAUACAUAAAACAUGGAUGAUGCUGCUGUCCAACAUUACAGUGUAUUAUAUUUAGCUGUUAGCAUAGCCUUAGCCGCUGUUAGAGAAGCAAAUUUCCUGGUUUCUUGUUGAGUUUUCACUACUUGAGAGACGUUUCUAAGACCACAGAGUGACGGCAGACAGAGAGAGGAGGCUGAUCACAGCUGAAGUAGAGCAUUUAGUUCAUCAAUAAUUAAUAAAUAAAAUUACAGAUACCAAUAAUUGGAAAAUUCCAAAUAUCAGAGACGAUGAUUGGAGACUCACGGAGACAUGUUUUGGUCAUUUAACCUGAAAAGGUGAUAUUUUUCACCCAUAAAUGAUGCACAGACCGAGUUAUUUUAGGAACAUUUCUACUGUCUGGUGCUUUUUAUGCCAAUCUUAAAGACAAUAAACGGCAGAAGGACUCGGACUGUCGUCACAGGAGUAGUUCUAGUCUUUGUUCAGGUGAACUGUGAUGACAGCGGGUCUGAAUGUGUUCACAGCAAUUAGUCGUAACCGGCGAGUGAAAGGACGGUUUGUCUACGUAGAAGGUGGUUUCUGUCCGUUUGACUCGGGGGUUGGAGUGAUUAUAAAACCGAGGAGGAUGACACAUUCUCCGUUUGUCCAGUGAAGGAUGAGAUAAUAAUAAGAUCCUGGAGAAACCUGACAAACGUAAAUCACAUUAAGUGAUUCAUUGGUUCAUCAUUACUGGACGGAGCUGGAUUUUAAUGAAGCUGUUUUUAAUUCCAAGAAAAAGAUUUAAAGUCUGCUUUUUUAAAAAAUGUUUUGCAAUUUUUCAUUUCAG
ensembl:lncRNA